rnacentral:rRNA from 1 species
UACAGAGGUCCCAAGCGUUGUUCGGAUUCACUGGGCGUAAAGGGCGUGUAGGCGGCCGGGCCAGUCCGGCGUGAAAGCCCGCAGCUCAACUGCGGAAGGGCGUCAGAUACUGCCCGGCUCGAGGAUUGGAGGGGGGACUGGAAUUCUCGGUGUAGCGGUGAAAUGCGUAGAGAUCGAGAAGAACACCAAUGGCGAAGGCAAGUCCCUGGACAACUCCUGACGCUGAGGCGCGAAAGCCAGGGGAG